ACCCCUCUGAAGGAGACUGGUUCCAGAGCCAUGCGUCAAGACCUCGGCGUUUGCUGGUGCUGCAUGCCAGCUGCAUACAAAUGCACGCAUGAAAGACCGACAUAAAUCUCAGAUAAAUUCUUCCUGUGGUGGCCAGUACACUGUUUGAUUCCCCUCCCUGCCUGAGGCACUACACAGAGCUCAGGGACGCUGCUGUUUGUCCUUGGCUGGCUGUUUGCCAGACUGUUCUCCGAGCUGCCACUUGCCUGCUACCUUGGGUAUCCAUCGUCUGCUGACUACCCGUCAACCUGGUUGGCGUAAAGCUGGCUCCUGGCCCUUGUCCACCGUGGCUGAUUUAGGCUGGUUUGCGACCACCUCUAUUGAUUCUUCUGGUGCUUCUCGGGCAGCGUGAGCUGUGGUGUGGCCGUGUGCCCCAAGACGGAUUCUUAAUUGUAACUGCUGCUUGAGUUGUUGUGGACUAAACUGUAUCAUUUAAUGUAUGUAAUUUGAGUGUCCAUUUUAUUUUGCCAGGAACAGCCAGCUCUUGGUGUUGGCGGUGGACUUUCCGGGAGGUGGUACUUUUUAGUUUGGUGCAUGAUUUUCUUUUAUUUUUGU